CGAAGAACAUUCCUCUAACGCUUGAUCUUCAAACCUGUGGUCCCACUCCAUUCCAAAAGAGUCACACUAACAUAUCUGCAUCGCAAUUCAUACCCACUAGAUUAAAAUCAACGGCUAGAUCUACUUCCACGUGGUCUCUGACCCACCUCUUCAAGGAAAAAUUGGAUAUGUUAAUGUUCUUCUCUCUCCGACUCUCCCUCCAUUUCCUCUGUCUGAUGUCUCUGUGAUAUGCACGCCUAAUUCUACCAGUAACCAUAGUACUGUGUGUUUGAGAAAAAAACAAAAAAUAGUACUGUGUCCAAUAUAAAUAAAAAGAUGGCUGUGACGUCAUCUUCGGAUGCGGAGCUCCUGUCGCCGCUGCUCCAACCUUCUUUAAAAAAACAAUCGGAGCCGGAGAAGCUAACCAUAGAUGAUAUCCUCCAAAAGCACUGCGGCGAAUUCGGGUGGUGGCAAUUGCGUCACUUUGUGCUGACCAGCUUGGCUUGGGCCCUGGAGGCGUUCCACACCAUGGUCGUGAUAUUUGCAGAUCGUGAACCGGAUUUCAGAUGUCUAGGAUCGGGUUGCGACGCAAAGGCGAAGAGCGUUUGUGGAUUUGAACCGAGUUCGUGGGAGUGGGUUGGUGGUCUGGAUACUUCCACAGUGGCACAGUGGGGUUUGGUCUGUGGACAGAAGUUUAAGGUCGGAUUGGUUCAGGCCUUUUUCUUCGGUGGCUGCAUGACCGGUGCAGGGAUAUUUGGCCAUCUCUCAGACUCCAUGCUAGGAAGAAGAGGCUCUCUAAUAGUAGUUUGCAUCUUAAAUGCCUUAUUUGGUUGCUUAACUGCAUUAGCACCAGACUACUGGACCUAUCUCCUUCUCCGUCUUCUCACUGGUUUCAGCACCGGAGGUGUCGGCCUCUGUGCUUUUGUUCUUGCCACCGAGCCUGUCGGACCCACCAAGCGUGGCAUGGCGGGCAUGUCUACAUUCUAUUUUUUCUCUACUGGAAUAGCCAUAUUGUCAGGUGUGGCAUACAUUUUCCGUUCCUGGCGGAAACUUUACGUUGCCUCCUCUAUUCCUUCCAUUCUAUUCCUUGUCAUUGUGCUUCCUUUUAUCUCUGAGUCCCCUCGAUGGUACCUUGUUCGUGGGAGAAUCAAUGACGCAAUGAAACUAAUGAGCACGAUUGCUAAAUCGAAUGGAAAUCACCUUCCUGAUGGACUUAUCCUGGCCCUUGAUGAAGAAGCAAAUAACAGUGCAAGCAAUGAUGACCAGAGUUGCAAGGAAAAGCCUGCAACAAAAGAAGCAAUAACAGGUUCUCUAAUUGAUGUAAUCCGCUCACCACUCACCCGUAUCCGUUUGUUCUUAGCUGUGGCAAUUAACUUCUUGUGCUCCGUUGUUUACUAUGGUAUUAGCCUAAACGUUGUGAAUCUUGAAACCAACCUUUACCUAAAUGUGCUGCUUAAUGCAGUAGCUGAAAUGCCAGCAUUCACUAUAACAGCUCUUCUAUUGAGCAAGUUUGGGAGGAAACCAUUGGCAAUUGCAACACAAUGGUUCAGUGGACUCUUCUGUUUCAUAGGAAGUUUGAUGGGAAAUGCUGGGAUAUGGAAAAUCAUAAAAAUGAUUUGUGGGAUUUUGGGUAUUUUCGGGAUGGCUGGGACAUAUAAUUUACUGUUCAUAUACACAGCAGAGUUGUUUCCUACGGUAGUGAGAAAUGCAGCUCUUGGCAGUGCAACACAGGCAGCGCAAAUGGGGGCAAUACUGGCACCGUUUGUGGUGGUUUUUGGGGGUGCGUUGCCAUUUGCGGUGUUUGCAUUUUGCGGAAUUAUGGGAGGAUUGCUUGCAUUUUACUUGCCGGAGACAUUAAAUCGGCCAUUGUAUGACACAAUGAGUGGAAUGGAGGAUGGAGAAAGUGGUUGUAGAAGCGUUUGAAGGUGUUGGAAGUUUGCUUCUUGACAAGAUGUAUUCAAGAGUUUUUGUUUUAUAAAAGCAUUUUAGGAUUUUUUUUUUGUUGUCUAAACUUGAUCUAUUAUAAACUCAAAACAUGUAUAAUGAGAUUCACAUAUUAAAU
rnacentral:misc_RNA from 1 species